rnacentral:misc_RNA from 1 species
GCCCACUAAAAACUGCAUAUUUCCUGCUAUUCACACUUUGAGCAAAUCAAUAUUGAAGAUGUUAAAUUGUCCAUUCAAUUAUCAAUGUUUUCCUCAGUUUUGUUUGACAUCAUAUCUUGAAUUGCUAAAAUGGUAUCAAUUUGAUGGUAAUUCCUUUUUUGUUGAACUUAUUGAGGACACACAUUAUGGCUUUGAAUUCAGAUUGUAAAUAGAUCAAGUUGCAUUAGGUUUCCUAUUUAUAACCCUGAGACUGAGUCAUUCUUUUCCAGGGGUGAAGGGAAAU